CCUACGGGUGGCAGCAGUGAGGAAUAUUGGUCAAUGGGCGGAAGCCUGAACCAGCCAAGUAGCGUGCAGGAUGACGGCCCUACGGGUUGUAAACUGCUUUUAUACGGGAAUAACGCGCCUUACGUGUAGGGCUUUGCAUGUACCGUAUGAAUAAGGACCGGCUAAUUCCGUGCCAGCAGCCGCGGUAAUACGGAAGGUCCGGGCGUUCUCCGGAUUUAUUGGGUUUAAAGGGAGCGUAGGCCGCAUGUCAAGCGUGCUGUGAAAUGUCCUGGCUCAACCCGGGCCUUGCAGCGCGAACUGGCGUGCUUGAGUCCGCGGAAGGCAGGCGGAAUUCGUCGUGUAGCGGUGAAAUGCUUAGAUAUGACGAAGAACCCCGAUUGCGAAGGCAGCCUGCUGCAGCGGAACUGACGCUGAUGCUCGAAAGCGCGGGUAUCGAACAGGAUUAGAUACCCCGGUAGUC
rnacentral:rRNA from 1 species